rnacentral:rRNA from 1 species
CCCUUAGAUGUUCUGGGCCGCACGCGCGCUACACUGAUGCAUUCAACGAGUAAUCUUUGACCUUGGUCGACAGAUCUGGGUAAUCUUUUGAAAUUGCAUCGUGAUGGGGCUUGCGGGUUGCAAUUACCCGCACCAACGAGGAAUUCCUAGUAAACGCAAGUCAUCAACUUGCAUUGAUUACGUCCCUGCCCUUUGUACACACCGCCCGUCGCUCCUACCGAUUGAGUGGUCCGGUGAGGCUUUGGGAUCUGAGCGGAAAGAGCGUUUCGCUGUUUCUGCUCGGAAAACUCAGUCGAACCUUAUCAUUUAGAGGAAGGAGAAGUCGUAACA